AAAAGAGAGAGAUAGAUAGAGGGCCAGGAGUUUGCAUGACCGGCGAUUUCAGCUGUUUUGGCGCAGAGAUUUUGGUUGUCGUUUGCUGACGAGUUGUUUACUAUUUGGUUGGAGCGCAAGAAUUCUUUAGCUGAAAAAGUAGGAUUGUUCGAGGUUCAAUCUUCUCAGGAGUAUUUGGUUGGGAACAAACAAAGAAAGGAAGUAGGAUCAAUAUUCGGGAACCU